CCUGUGAACAGCUGUAUUUUGAACAAAAACAAACUCUGGGAAAACUAAAUCCUGGAGGCUGCACCCUGCAGUGCCUCCCGGGUUUGAGGAGCCAUGCGUUGAGCUGCACCGAUAGGUGCCCGCACUGUUUGCCGCCGAACGGGCCGCCGUGGGCGUGCGGGCUCGUGGAGAGCAGGUCACAAGGGGACUGUUGGUUUAGUGGGCCCCUCAGCCUCUGUGCUCGGGCCGGGGCCAUGGAUCGUCUUCGGCGGGUUUGCUCCCGUGCUGUUGAGCAAACACACCGAGCUCCGUGAUUGGUCAGGACGGCCGUCCAAUCGGGGAGCCGCAGCCCCCGCUGCCGUAGUACUGCUGCUGGCACGGCCUCAACGCGCUCAUUCAUUGGCUCCCCGGCUCCACUAUUCUAUAUGAAUCAGCGCGCCAGUUAUGCUUUUUCUCCCCGUGUUUCCUCUGCUGGGUUUCGUCACGAGCCGUAAAGAUUUGAGCGAAACGCAAACAAGCGGCCAUUUAUUUUUUAGAAGUCUUUUAACAACUUUUCACGUAGUUCAGUUUGUGUUUACGUUCGUGGGCCACUCAUAUAAACAAGUUGCAUUUAAAGGGAAUAAAAUAUAGCGUUUAAAUGUCCACUUUAGGGCACCGUAUGCGGAAUUUAAAUCGUUUUUUAAAUUGUUUCAGCCUCCCGAAGGGUGGUUUGUUUCACAAAGGCCUGUGUCUUUUUUUUUUUUUUUUGCAUGGAUAAAUGUAAGGAACGUAUUAACCAAGGAGGCUUUCCGUUGGCCUGGUCAGGCGCGUACAAUUUUGUCUAACCUAGUUUAUCAUUCUUAACCAUUUCCACUGGAUAUAAACUAACGAAACGAGGGGCGGGGGUCCCGCCGCGCAGAGCCGCGGACUUGUACGCAUAUAAAGGGACGGCGGUCAUGUGAGCGCUCGGCGGACUGUGUCGGUUUAAAUGAGCUGCUGAUGCAUGGCUGCAGCCUGUCCGUCUGUGUGUGUGUGUGUGUGUGUGUGUGUGUGGAUAAGUGCGCGAGUGUGUGGGCGCGCGCGCGUGUGUGCGGUUGCAGCCUCUGCAGGAGGAAUAGUGAAUGUAUCGCUGAGGAAUGUACAGAAAGUCUCCCCGCCCCCCCAGCUUUCAGGGCUCCUCGCUGCGGUUGAAUUCCAUAGGGGGCCAACUGACAUAAAGUUUCAGACUAGACUGCAUCCUAUGUGGGAAGGGUUCUGCGGUGAAUGUCAGCACAGGGUGUGUGUGUGUGUAUAUAUAUAUAUAUAUACAGAUUUAUAUAACGACAACAAGAAAAGAACAGAUCGAAUCGAUCCGGUUUCAACAUAAUCUGGGAUGUUUUCAGAGCAGAGAAGUUGUGCGCGUGGAAUGUACAGGCUGACCGCUGCGGACGGACAGACGGACAGACAGACGGACAGACAGGCGGCUCAGUGGCACGAACGCCAUGUUGAGAAGCCAGAGAGCCUCACAGUUCCAUUUCUAUCUAUUGCAAACAAUGUAUCUAUCGGCGUUAAAGCCAUUGUGUUUGAAUUAAAACGGUCUGGAUUUAUGUUUUUUUCUAUUCACGCCAAGGAGACUCACGCAGGCUUCAACACACACGAAUGGGUGUGUUUUCUCCUGUGUGAUGACACCCUUCAUCUCAUUAGAAAAUGGCGGUGUGUGCCCCUUCACAGCCAGAGAGGAUUCCUUUUUUUU